rnacentral:rRNA from 1 species
CCUACGGGUGGCAGCAGUGGGGAAUAUUGGGCAAUGGGCGCAAGCCUGAUCCAGCAACGCCGCGUGAAGGAAGAAGGCUUUCGGGUUGUAAACUUCUUUUGACAGGGAAGAGCAGAAGACGGUACCUGUCGAAUAUGCCACGGCUAACUACGUGCCAGCAGCCGCGGUAAUACGUAGGUGGCAAGCGUUGUCGGGAUUUAUUGGGUUUAAAGGGUGCGUAGGGGGACUGUUAAGUCAGCGGGAAAAGCCCGGGGCUCAACCCCGGCGAGCCGUUGAAACUGGCUGUCUUGAGAAGUCGAGGGGUAUGCGGAAUGCGCAGUGUAGCGGUGAAAUGCGUAGAUAUUGCGCAGAACACCGAUGGCGAAGGCAGCAUACCGGCGGGGAUCUGACGCUGAGGCACGAAAGCGUGGGUAUCGAACAGGAUUAGAUACCCUAGUAGUC